AUGAACGCUAGCUACAGGCUUAACACAUGCAAGUCGAGGGGCAGCAUGGUCUUAGCUUGCUAAGGCCGAUGGCGACCGGCGCACGGGUGAGUAACACGUAUCCAACCUGCCGUCUACUCUUGGACAGCCUUCUGAAAGGAAGAUUAAUACAAGAUGGCAUCAUGAGUCCACAUGUUCACAUGAUUAAAGGUAUUCCGGUAGACGAUGGGGAUGCGUUCCAUUAGAUAGUAGGCGGGGUAACGGCCCACCUAGUCUUCGAUGGAUAGGGGUUCUGAGAGGAAGGUCCCCCACAUUGGAACUGAGACACGGUCCAAACUCCUACGGGAGGCAACAGUGAGGAAUAUUGGUCAAUGGGCGAGAGCCUGAACCAGCCAAGUAGCGUGAAGGAUGACUGCCCUAUGGGUUGUAAACUUCUUUUAUAAAGGAAUAAAGUCGGGUAUGCAUACCCGUUUGCAUGUACUUUAUGAAUAAGGAUCGGCUAACUCCGUGCCAGCAGCCGCGGUAAUACGGAGGAUCCGAGCGUUAUCCGGAUUUAUUGGGUUUAAAGGGAGCGUAGAUGGAUGUUUAAGUCAGUUGUGAAAGUUUGCGGCUCAACCGUAAAAUUGCAGUUGAUACUGGAUAUCUUGAGUGCAGUUGAGGCAGGCGGAAUUCGUGGUGUAGCGGUGAAAUGCUUAGAUAUCACGAGGAACUCCGAUUGCGAAGGCAGCCUGCUAAGCUGCAACUGACAUUGAGGCUCGAAAGUGUGGGUAUCAAACAGGAUUAGAUACCCUGGUAGUCCACACGGUAAACGAUGAAUACUCGCUGUUUGCGAUAUACAGCAAGCGGCCAAGCGAAAGCGUUAAGUAUUCCACCUGGGGAGUACGCCGGCAACGGUGAAACUCAAAGGAAUUGACGGGGGCCCGCACAAGCGGAGGAACAUGUGGUUUAAUUCGAUGAUACGCGAGGAACCUUACCCGGGCUUAAAUUGCAGAUGAAUUACGGUGAAAGCCGUAAGCCGCAAGGCAUCUGUGAAGGUGCUGCAUGGUUGUCGUCAGCUCGUGCCGUGAGGUGUCGGCUUAAGUGCCAUAACGAGCGCAACCCUUGUUGUCAGUUACUAACAGGUUCCGCUGAGGACUCUGACAAGACUGCCAUCGUAAGAUGUGAGGAAGGUGGGGAUGACGUCAAAUCAGCACGGCCCUUACGUCCGGGGCUACACACGUGUUACAAUGGGGGGUACAGAGGGCCGCUACCACGCGAGUGGAUGCCAAUCCCCAAAACCUCUCUCAGUUCGGACUGGAGUCUGCAACCCGACUCCACGAAGCUGGAUUCGCUAGUAAUCGCGCAUCAGCCACGGCGCGGUGAAUACGUUCCCGGGCCUUGUACACACCGCCCGUCAAGCCAUGGGAGCCGGGGGUACCUGAAGUGCGUAACCGCGAGGAGCGCCCUAGGGUAAAACUGGUGACUGGGGCU
rnacentral:rRNA from 1 species